AGCAGCCGCGGUAAUUCCAGCUCCAAUAGCGUAUAUUAAAGUUGUUGCAGUUAAAAAGCUCGUAGUUGAAUUUCGAGAUCAAAUUGUUGGUCGUGCCUUGGUACGCACUGGCAUUAUUGGUUUCUCCCUUCUGACGAACCAUGAUGUCAUUAAUUUGGUGUCUUGGGGAAUCAAGACUGUUACUUUGAAAAAAUUAGAGUGUUUAAAGCAGGCUCACGCUUGGAAUACAUUAGCAUGGAAUAAUGAAAUAGGACGUUUGAUUCUAUUUUUGUUGGUUUCUAGGAUCGACGUAAUGAUUAAUAGGGAUAGUUGGGGGGCAUUAGUAUUCAAUUGUCAGAGGUGAAAUUCUUGGAUUUAUUGAAGACUAACUACUGCGAAAGCAUUUUGCCAAGGAUGUUUUCAUUAAUCAAGAACGAAAUGUUAGGGGAUCGAAGACGAUCAGAUACCGUCGUAGUCUUAACCAUAAACUAUGCCGACUAGGGAUCGGAUGAUGUUAAUUUUUUCAAUGACUCAUUCGGCG
rnacentral:rRNA from 1 species